rnacentral:ncRNA from 1 species
GUGACCAGUAUGGUAGCGCAGAGCAGAAAAGGCAGACCUAGACAGCGAGCGCUUGGGUCAUGAGCGGCCGCUCCCCGAACCACGCUUGUUUUUGUGUUUUCGUCACCGUCGUUUUCGUACUCCGGGAGAAACGGGCGCGGCGAUUCGAAAGGGCGCAGGGAGAAACGGGAAAGGGGGGACGUUGAGUUUCUCCUCUCCACGAUAGCGACAAGAAAAGAGAGAGAAGAAGAAAAGAUUGUUUCUGCGUUUGGCCGCUCGCUCUUUUGUGGCGCUAGCAGCAAAGGUUCUCUCCGCUCCCGUUUCUCCACCCCUCCUUUCCCAUUUACGGCGGCCGUCUUUUCACGCGACGCGCCAGGCUUUCUCCGUAUAGAGGAGGCUAUGCUACUACCGAUUGAAUGAUUUAGUGAGGUCUUCGGACCGAUACCCGGAGCGGCCUUUCGGUUGCCGGUUUGUUGGAAAGAUGACCAAACUUGAUCAUUUAGAGGAAGUAAAAGUCGUAACAAGGUUUCCGUAGGUGAACCUGCGGAAGGAUCAUUA